AGACAGAAAACCCGCCAAAACUAAAACCGUGUACAAUUAAUUAUGCUCCUAAUGUUCUUAUUGUAAAUGUUGUUCUAUUAUUAUUUCACGUUAAAUAUAAAACUUGCACAAUAAAUUGCUUUGUUUAACGAAACAUCGACAUGUAAGUGGUACAGCGACAACUCCAAAAAUUAAUAUAAUAUGCAAUAAUGUCUAUUUUUUUUAAGUCGAAGCUUCUUGGGUGCAUAUUGCGAGUGAAUAAAGAGAAUGAAUAGUCCGGCAAGUCUCUGAUAGUUUACGGGAGAGUACUUUCUAGAGCCCGUGGAAGAGCAACGUUCCAGUCAAGCCCGAACAAACACUAUUAAGCACCCACGCUACGUGACAAGCUACUUACAAUCUAGCGCCAACAUCAGCUUCCAAUUCCCCUGCUUCUUCCAUUUUUUCGGGUUCAUUUUCAUCAUCUGGUGCGUUCGACAUUUUCAACAGCCACUUCAACUAGGCCUAUGAAAAUUUAUUUACCAAACUUUGACUAUGAGAAUCAAAGAUUUUGUUAAAGAUGAUAUUAAUAAAACACUAUGCGUCAGAAAAUGACAAAUUAUAGUACAA